rnacentral:tRNA from 1 species
GGAUUAUGGCUCAGUGGCAGAGCACUUGCCUAGCAUGUAUGAGGCACUGGGUUUGAUUCUCAGCACCA